AAUGUAACGGGUCUCCUAGGAUUGUAAAGCUCUUUCGCCGGGGAAGAUAAUGACGGGAACCGGAGAAGAAGCCCCGGGUAACUUCCUGCCAGCAGCCGCGCUAAUACGAAGGGGGCUAGCGUUGUUCGGAUUUACUGGGCGUAAAGCGCACGCAGGCGGACUUUUAAGUCAGGGGUGAAAUCCCAGAGCUCAACUCUGGAACUGCCUUUGAUACUGGAAGUCUUGAGUAUGGUAGAGGUGAGUGGAAUUUCGAGGGUAAAGGGGAAAUUGGUAUUUCUUCGGAGGAACACCAGUGUUGAAGGCGGCUCACUGGACCAUUACUGACGCUGUGGUGCGAAAGCGUGGGGAGCAUACCGGAUUAGAUACCCUGGUAGUCCACGCCGUUAACGAA
rnacentral:rRNA from 2 species